UGGCUCUGGUUUCUCUUCAAUCCCACGCAUAAAUCUUUCGCCUUCUACUAAAGAUUUCCGUGGAGAGGAACACUCUAAUGAGUCUAUAGACAUUUUGUUCUUCUGACAAGUUCGUAUUAAU